rnacentral:lncRNA from 1 species
UCUUCUUUUAGUGGGAUGGAAACCAGUUGCUUGGCUGGUUCACCCCUUUCUUCAUUCUCUCUUUGGUCCAAUUUAUCAAUGGACAAAAAGUCUUCAAGUUGAUUAUUUUGUGUGAAAAUCAAAAAGCAGCAUCGGGCAAGUUGUUGAUCUCCAUACAUUUCUCCGGCUCCAUUUCUUGUUGAGAAUCAAACCAGCAGAUGAUAUGUCGAGACUACUGCCC